rnacentral:rRNA from 1 species
CUAGGUGAGAGUGGCGCACGGGUGCGUAACGCGUGAGCAACCUACCCAUAUCAGGGGGAUAGCCCGGUGAAAAUCGGAUUAACACCGCAUGACACAGCGACUCGGCAUCGAGAUGUUGUUAAAUAUUUAUAGGAUAUGGAUGGGCUCGCGUGACAUUAGCUAGUUGGUAAGGUAACGGCUUACCAAGGCAACGAUGUCUAGGGGCUCUGAGAGGAGAAUCCCCCACACUGGUACUGAGACACGGACCAGACUCCUACGGGAGGCAGCAGUAAGGAAUAUUGGUCAAUGGAGGGAACUCUGAACCAGCCAUGCCGCGUGCAGGAUGACUGCCCUAUGGGUUGUAAACUGCUUUUGUCCAGGAAUAAACACCUCUACGUGUAGAGGCUUGAAUGUACUGGAAGAAUAAGGAUCGGCUAACUCCGUGCCAGCAGCCGCGGUAAUACGGAGGAUCCGAGCGUUAUCCGGAUUUAUUGGGUUUAAAGGGUGCGUAGGCGGCCUAUUAAGUCAGGGGUGAAAGACGGCAGCUUAACUGUCGCAGUGCCUUUGAUACUGAUAGGCUUGAAUGUGGUUGAAGAUGGCGGAAUGAGACAAGUAGCGGUGAAAUGCAUAGAUAUGUCUCAGAACUCCGAUUGCGAAGGCAGCUGUCUAAGUCAUUAUUGACGCUGAUGCACGAAAGCGUGGGGAUCGAACAGGAUUAGAUACCCUGGUAGUCCACGCCCUAAACGAUGAUAACUCGAUGUUGGCGAUAUACAGUCAGCGUCUAGCGAAAGCGUUAAGUUAUCCACCUGGGGAGUACGCCCGCAAGGGUGAAACUCAAAGGAAUUGACGGGGGCCCGCACAAGCGGAGGAGCAUGUGGUUUAAUUCGAUGAUACGCGAGGAACCUUACCCGGGCUUGAAAGUUACUGAAUUAUCUAGAGAUAGAUAAGUCCUUCGGGACAGGAAACUAGGUGCUGCAUGGCUGUCGUCAGCUCGUGCCGUGAGGUGUUGGGUUAAGUCCCGCAACGAGCGCAACCCCUAUGUUUAGUUGCCAGCAUGUAAUGAUGGGGACUCUAAACAGACUGCCAGCGUAAGCUGUGAGGAAGGUGGGGACGACGUCAAGUCAUCAUGGCCCUUACGUCCGGGGCUACACACGUGCUACAAUGGAUGGUACAGCGGGCAGCUACACAGUAAUGUGAUGCUAAUCUCGAAAAGCCAUUCACAGUUCGGAUUGAGGUCUGCAACUCGACCUCAUGAAGUUGGAUUCGCUAGUAAUCGCGUAUCAGCAAUGACGCGGUGAAUACGUUCCCGGGCCUUGUACACACCGCCCGUCAAGCCAUGAAAGUUGGGGGUGCCUAAAGCAUGUAACCGCAAGGAGCGUGUUAGGGUAAAACCGAUAAUUGGGGCUAAGUCGUACAAGGGGUA